AUGGAGAGGGAUAAUCCCGGGAAACUGGGGCUAAUACCUCAUAGACUAUGAAUGCUGGAAUGAUUCGUAGUUCAAAGGUCCGCCGCCAUAGGAUGGGUCUGCGGCCGAUUAGGUAGUUGUUGGGGUAACGGCCCAACAAGCCUGUAAUCGGUACGGGUUGUGGGAGCAAGAGCCCGGAGAUGGAUUCUGAGACACGAAUCCAGGCCCUACGGGGCGCAGCAGGCGCGAAAACUUUACAAUGCGGGAAACCGUGAUAAGGGAACUCCGAGUGCCCGUUAAAUCGGGCUGUCCAUCAGUUUAAAAAACUGGUGAAGAAAGGGCCGGGCAAGACCGGUGCCAGCCGCCGCGGUAAUACCGGCGGCUCGAGUGGUGGCCACUAUUACUGGGCUUAAAGCGUUCGUAGCUGGUUUGUUAAGUCUCUGGGGAAAUCUUCCGGCUUAACCGGAAGGCGUCUCAGGGAUACUGGCAGACUAGGGACCGGAAGAGGUGAGGGGUACUCCAGGGGUAGGAGUGAAAUCCUGUAAUCCUUGGGGGACCACCUGUGGCGAAGGCGCCUCACCAGGACGGCUCCGACAGUGAGGGACGAAAGCUGGGGGAGCAAACCGGAUUAGAUACCCGGGUAGUCCCAGCCGUAAACGAUGUGCGUUAGGUGUAUCGGUGACCACGAGUCACCGAGGUGCCGAAGAGAAAUCGUGAAACGUACCGCCUGGGAAGUACAGUCGCAAGGCUGAAACUUAAAGGAAUUGGCGGG
rnacentral:rRNA from 1 species